rnacentral:lncRNA from 1 species
AUAUAUUUAUAUUGUUAAGGAUAUCGAUCCUGUCUGGCUUGGGAAACCAGAGUGAAUCGAAUGUGAUUUAGUUUGAUCAAAGCAUUCUCAAUAUUCAUUUUGCAAACAAUCACAAACUCACGCAAUGUAUAUAGAAUGGUACUGGGCAAAAAGGUGACAAAAGAGAGAAUUCUUCCAUCAGUGUGUGAAGAUGAUGGAGAUGAAGGCGGAAAAGAAGAGGAUUUGGGAGGAAUCACAAGCAGUCCAAUCAGCAGACCCAGGAGUCUCUACAGCAGAGGAAAGAGUGUCUAGAUCGCCCAGCCAGCAUCAAAGCACAAGAAUGGCCCAUCAGGAUGAAGAUCAUAUGAAUGAAGAAGACGAGGUGGAUGAAGGUGGAGGUAUCCAUCCAGGUGAUGGACAGCAGCAGGAUGAAGAGUGUGUCAUCAGUGACAAAGAUUUUGACACAGACCUGGAACUUGACAGAUUUCACAAUGAAAGACGAGCAUUUGACCCUACAGGACAGUCAAGCUACAGAGAGGCUUGUAAGAUGCUGAAUGUAAUUCCAGCAUCCUUCUCAGGGCCGCUGCUGGCCAAAUGGGUGCCCUAUGCAAGAUUGUAUUGUUGUGCCCCUAUACCCCCCCCCCCCCAACUUACAGUGUAUACAGUGUAUACAGUGUAUAGAUAACAUUGUGCU